AUAGCAGAGUGUGUGUGUAGUAUCAUUACAACCUCCUGGGCACAUCCUAGACUGCACUACCCGAUGCAGUGGCCACGCAGUACUCCAGUUCCUCUCCACGUCCGCAGGCCCAGACGUCACGCAUGGCCGCAGCUAUGCACAGAACAGGGAGCAGCGAGCAUGUCCCCUUGCAGGUCUCCUCGUGUAGCAUGGACCCGGUUGCCACGCACAGCUGCCACCUCCUCCAGCAGCUGCACGAGCAGCGGAUCCAGGGCCUGCUGUGUGACUGCAUGCUGGUGGUGCACGGCGUCUGCUUCAAAGCGCACAAGAACGUGCUGGCCGCCUUCAGCCACUACUUCAGGAGCCUCUUCCAGAACUCCUCAAGCCAGAAAAAUGAUGUUUUCCACCUGGAUGUGAAGAAUGUCAGCGGCAUAGGGCAGAUCCUCGACUUCAUGUACACCUCGCACCUCGACCUUACCCAGGACAAUAUACAGGUCAUGCUGGACACAGCCCAGUGUCUACAGGUACAGAACGUCCUCAACCUGUGUCACACGUUCCUGAAAUCGGCCUCUGCAGAGCAGCCACCCGGCCUGGCCUGCAGUAGUGCCUUCUCUGUGCAGGGCACUCUGGCCCCUGAUACCACCUGUGUUCUGAAUGAAAACUACCCGCCACCCCUCCUGCCCGAGUGCCCAGCAGAGGCCCAGCAUGACAAGGCUGUGGAAGAAGCGCACGUCCCCACUCUGCCCAUUGGUCUCCAUCAUCCCAUGGGUGAGAUAUCCAAACAGGCCUCUGAUGCCCUGGACGGCAGCUGCACCGAGCUACCCAGCAAGCAGCCCAGUUACUACUACAAGCUCCGGGACUUCUACAGCAAGCAGUACUACAAGCAGGCUGCGUGUCCUGGCCACGAACGAGUGGCUGAGCAGCCCUUUGCUUUCACUUCCUCCACAGACAUCAAUGUGGUGGAGACCCAGUCAUGCACUGUCAGCCACUCCGAGUGCCUCCUGGAGUCCUCAGAGCACCUGCCCUCGGCCUUUCUGGCCCCACCACUGAGCGACUCUGCCCCUGACCCCGAGGCAGACACACCCUGCCAACAGCCAGCCAAGCAGAUGCGACUCAAAAAGGCUGUUCACCUAAAGAAACUCAACUUUCUAAAGUCGCAGAAAUCGGCAGAGCAGGCAUCUGCACCCAGAUCAGAUGAUGGCCUAACCAAGGGGACAGGAUCUGCUGCUGAAAAUACAAGGGAGGACACCGGCAGCCACAGUGCAGACACCAAGGAAAGCGAGGACCUUAGCUCCGAGCCAUUUCACUGUGGCACCAGGGAAGUGGAGGUGCCCGAAGCGCCAGCCACUCUGGAGGAGCAGUCCCAGAGCCUGCACCCGCAGAGGCAGUACGCGUGCGAAUUGUGCGGGAAGCCUUUCAAACACCCGAGCAACCUGGAGCUGCACAGGCGGUCCCAUACAGGUGAGAAACCUUUUGAAUGUAACAUUUGUGGGAAACAUUUCUCUCAGGCAGGUAACUUGCAGACCCACCUCCGCCGGCACUCUGGGGAGAAGCCAUACAUCUGCGAGAUCUGUGGAAAGAGGUUUGCGGCCUCUGGCGAUGUCCAGCGUCACAUCGUCAUCCACUCGGGGGAGAAGCCACACUUGUGCGACACCUGCGGCCGAGGCUUCAGCAACUUCAGCAACCUGAAGGAGCACAAGAAGACACACACGGCCGACAAGGUGUUCACCUGCGACGAGUGUGGCAAGUCCUUCAACAUGCAGAGGAAGCUGGUGAAGCACCGCGUCCGCCACACGGGCGAGCGGCCCUACAGCUGCUCCGCCUGCGGUGAGUGCUGGGCCUGUGCAAGUCACCAUGCCUGCACAGGCGGAGAGCAGGCGACGCACCUGUUCUCUCCAGUGCCCUGGUGCCUGUCUAACAGUAUGUGCUGUCCCCGCACUGGAGCACAGAUGGCCGGGGUGGGCACUGAGUGCGGGAAGGGUGCGGAUGUGCAGUGGCGCUGCCAGGGCAUGCCCUGGUGGAAUCCAGGGCGCACACGCCAUGUAGGGGCGAGGUGGUGGGCCCCUGGGGUCACACGUGGGGCAGCAGAGAGGCCAUCACCCAGGACAACGGACAUGGGCAGCCCCUCAGCUCACAGUGCCUCAGUGCACAGACAGGGACGUGGGACAGAGGGCCGGGCCAUAUGUGGGCCAGGAACUGUUGCCCUUGGCCUGGAAGAGGCUGCCUGUGUGCUCAGUGGGCGGCCAUGGGGUCUGGUGCAUAGAUAGGUGCCGGCAGCAUUUAUGGAGUGUAGUAGAACAGAGUCCUGUGGGAAGGUGGGGCCAGUGGGGGACGGGGGGCUCCACCUCACCGCAGUUGGCAUCCCCUGGGCGCACUGUCCUCGGCUCCCCGCUUUUGCAGUGCACGUAGAUCAGGCCUCCCCUGCCAUUGAGAUUACGCUCAGAAAGUAUAGCUUCACGCUUUCAAAUCGAAAUUAAGCCUCAAAUCACUAAUAUAAAAAUAUCAGUUCCAUGUAGUUAGCCCAGCUAUGGGCCUGAGGUAAGGUUAAGGCUUCCCUCCCUCCCCUGUAGAGCAUGUCACUGCUCCAGGCACAGAGGCAGCGGAGGAAGCAGAAAGAGACCUCUCCUCAGCUGACAUCCCUCUGGCCCUGCGUGGUGGGCUUUGGGGAAUGGGGAGCGAUCUCUCAAGACAGGAUCAUCGCUUUCAACAGCCUUAAGAUAACAUGAAGUGGAUCCAUUUCUGGUGACCAGUCAGAGGGUGUCAGGCACUGGCCAAGCUGUAUGGCUGCCAUCGCUCUCUAACUUGGAGGCCUUCUCAGCGCCCCAGAAGCAGCCCCAAGCCCUUUCAUGGCCACUCCCUUCCCCACCUCAGCCACCACGUCUCCUCCCUGAGAGCUGCCCGUCCCCGACCUUCCUAUAAGUGAGGUCCUGCGGCGCAGGGUCUCCUUAGCACUUUCUCUGCCUCACACACCUUAAUCUUUGUGGCUAGGUCCCGUUUUCUCACAAUAUAGACAGGUUCUCUGUGGACAGGUGGCUUCCCGCUGAGAACGGCAGCAUCAGACGCUUCUCCCUCCACCCUUCAUGGUCCUCCACAGCCCCCCUGUCUCCUCAGACCUUUGGCUUCCUUUCCCGGGAAGUGCUUCGGGGGCUCAGGCGACCUGCGCAGGCACCUCCGCACUCAUACAGGGGAGAAGCCCUACACGUGCGACAUCUGCAGCAA